UAACUUGCCACACACGUCUUAUUACCGUGUCGCACGUCUCUGAGAAGUUCGGACUUUAUUUGGAUUAAUUUUACGUCCGAUCAUUUCACACAGUGAUACACAAUGUACAUAAACAGCGAGCGGAAGAAAAGGGUUCAUUGGGAUGUGAGCAUCACAGACAUUAAUGAUAGAAUCCGACCAUCUGAUAAUCCUCCCGAUCCGCCCAAAAGCAAGAAACGAAAGUCAAGACCGACGGUUUUAAAAGAUUUUCAAACGGCCAAAGAAAAGGUUGUAGAACUAAUUUACAAAAGCAGAUGUUUACAACUUGAGUGUUACCAGCUGACAGCGGAUUUUUCCAAAAUUGAAGACGAUUUCAUCAUAAUACAAAAAGCUUCCUCUCAAAUAAAAGAACUGCUAGGAAAAGGCGAGCCACCAUUCACGCGCAAGUCGCUCUUUAGUGUUGACGGAGUUAUCUCCCGUGUAUUGCACCCAGGCGAGACGCUCGCGCUCGAUGUUGAGCAAUUUCUGCUGGCAGACGGGUAAGAGUACUGAGACAACUUCAGAAAAUGCGUUAUUACUGAAAGUCAGUUCUCCAUGUGAUCAAAAUAAACUUGUCUUGUAUAUCAUUGGGUUUGUCAUAACACAACAAUGUAUUUAUUCACAUAGGUUGUUUAUUUUCAGUGUCCACCUUCAGAUGCAACAGUUUUGACGUGACAAGAACUACACACGUUAAUCUGUGCCGGCCUUGGUAUAUACUUAUGGUAUACUUAUUGUAUCCAUGCUAGAUACAAUACUAAAAA